rfam:Poecilia formosa, whole genome shotgun sequence.
UGGCUCUGUGGGUAGAGUGUUUGUUUUGUGAUCAGAAGGUUGUUGGUUCGAUUCCAGC